rnacentral:rRNA from 1 species
AUUGAACGCUGGCGGCAUGCCUUACACAUGCAAGUCGAACGGCAGCACGGGGCAACCUGGUGGCGAGUGGCGAACGGGUGAGUAAUGCAUCGGAACGUACCUUUCAGUGGGGGAUAACGUAGCGAAAGUUACGCUAAUACCGCAUAUUCUGUGAGCAGGAAAGCAGGGGAUCGCAAGACCUUGCGCUGAUUGAGCGGCCGAUGUCAGAUUAGCUAGUUGGUGAGGUAAAGGCUCACCAAGGCGACGAUCUGUAGCGGGUCUGAGAGGAUGAUCCGCCACACUGGAACUGAGACACGGUCCAGACUCCUACGGGAGGCAGCAGUGGGGAGUUUUGGACAACGGGGGCAACCCUGAUCCAGCCAUGCCGCGUGAGUGAAGAAGGCCUUCGGGUUGUAAAGCUCUUUCAGCCGGGAAGAAAUCGCACGGGCUAAUACCCUGUGUGGAUGACGGUACCGGAAUAAGAAGCACCGGCUAACUACGUGCCAGCCGCCGCGGUAACAC